GAUGAACGCUGGCGGCGUGCUUAACACAUGCAAGUCGAACGAUGAAGCCCAGCUUGCUGGGUGGAUUAGUUGCGAACGGGUGAGUAACACGUGAGUAACCUGCCCUUAACUCUGGGAUAAGCCUGGGAAACUGGGUCUAAUACCUGAUAGGAGCGUCCACCGCAUGGUGGGUGUUGGAAAGAUUUAUCGGUUUUGGAUGGACUCGCGGCCUAUCCGCUUGUUGGUGAAGUAAUGGCUCACCAAGGCGACGACGGGUAGCCGGCCUGAGAGGGUGACCGGCCACACUGGGACUGAGACACGGCCCAGACUCCUACGGGAGGCAGCAGUGGGGAAUAUUGCACAAUGGGCGCAAGCCUGAUGCAGCGACGCCGCGUGAGGGAUGACGGCCUUCGGGUUGUAAACCUCUUUCAGUAGGGAAGAAGCGAAAGUGACGGUACCUGCAGAAGAAGCACCGGCUAACUACGUG
rnacentral:rRNA from 1 species